rnacentral:rRNA from 1 species
GACGAACGCUGGCGGCGUGCUUAACACAUGCAAGUCGUACGGUAAGGCCCUUCUGGGGGUACACGCGCGGCGAACGGGCGAGUAACACGUGAGUAACCAGCCUACAAUUGUGGGAGAACGAUAGUCAACUGGUGCUAACACUUGAUAUGUGCUCCUGCCGCAUGGAGGGGGGUGGAAAGCUCCGGUGGGUGUGGAUGGACUGGCGGCCUUUCUGCUAGUUUGUGGGGGAGGUGGCUACCAAGGCGGCGGCGGGUAGCCGGCCUGAGUGGGUGAGCGGCCACAAUGGGGAUGGGGUACGGCCCAGGCUCCUACGGGGGGGCGCAGUGGGGGAUUUUGCACCAUGGGCGCAAGCCUGAUGCAACAACGCCGCGGGCGGGGUGACGGCCUUCGGGUUGGAAACCGGUUUCAGCAGGGACGAAGCUGUUUGUGACGGUACCUGCAGAAGAAGCACCGGCUAACUACGUG